rnacentral:rRNA from 1 species
AUGUCUUCCUCCACCUCCUCCUCCUUCCAGCCAAACCUCAGCGGCGGAGUCACGGAGAAACUCUCCAGCACCAACUACAUCCUGUGGCGGACUCAGAUCACGCCACAGCUGCGGGGCGCCGGCGUCUAUCACUACGUCGACGGCACGUCGACCGAGCCGGCCAAAACCCACGUCACCAAAGAUGCCGCUGGGAAAGAAACCGAGGGGUCGAAUCCUCUCCAUCCGCUCUGGGUGAAGGAGGAUCAGCAGGUCCUUGGAUAUCUACUCCAACACCUAUCCAAGGAGGUGCUCGUCACGGUGACUGCGAUCACCAUGGCGCGCGAACUCUGGGUGGCGCUGGCGAGCAUGUUCUCGUCGCAGUCCCUCAGCCGCGUCAACAACAUUCGCACGGCGCUGAUCAACGCGCAGAAGGGCAGCCAAUCGGUGUCCUCCUUCUUCACCACCAUGAGGGGGCUUGCUGAUGAGCUCGCCGCGGCGAGAAAACCGAUCCAAGACGACGAGCUCAUAUCCUACAUCAUCCACGGGCUGGACCAAGACUAUCAGCCCCUCGUCUCCGCCUUGGAUGCCCGAGUCACUCCGGUAACCCUUGAUGAGCUUUUCGCUAUGCUUAGCAACUUUGAUCAGCGUAUG